rnacentral:rRNA from 1 species
CCUACGGGGGGCUGCAGUUUCGAAUCAUUCACAAUGGGCGAAAGCCUGAUGGUGCGACGCCGCGUGAGGGAUGAAGGCCUUCGGGUUGUAAACCUCUGUCACUGGGGAAGAAACGCUUCAAGUUAAUAGCUUGAAGCCUGACUUAACCCAGAGAGGAAGCAGUGGCUAACUCUGUGCCAGCAGCCGCGGUAAUACAGAGACUGCAAGCGGUAUUCGGAUUCACUGGGGGCGUAGGGGUCGCGUGUGGCCGCCCGUGGCGUAACCUCGGAAUUGCGCCUAAAACUACACGGCUAGAGCAUUGGAGAGGGUAGCGGAAUUCACGGUGUAGCAGUGAAAUGCGUAGAUAUCGUGAGGAACACCAGAGGCGAAGGCGGCUACCUGGACAAUUGCUGACGCUCAGGCACGAAAGCGUGGGGAGCAAAAGGGAUUAGAUACCCGUGUAGUC